AAGACUUUAAGCUAACUAAACUAAAAACCUUCAAAGUUUUCAUUGGGGAUACCCAAGUCUUG
rnacentral:tRNA from 1 species